UCUGCAGAAGGUCACGGACAAAGGCCCCCCUCCCACCAUGGACGACCUUGAUGAUGACAUCUAAGGGCAGCUGCAGGCGGCAGGAGGGACCUCCUGUGCCCAGGAGCSGCGCGCUUCACUUGGGCGGUGAUGUGGUCGUGUGGGGAUAGUCAAUAAACAUGAAGCUUCCUCACACCCAGCAGAAGUCAAGGYUGUAGCUGGUACUUUCAUGUCUCAGAGCUCUGAGACAUUUGUCCCAAAAAUGGGACAUCCCCCCAAAACUUAUUUUCUUCACGCUGCUCC